rnacentral:rRNA from 1 species
UACGUAGGGGGCAAGCGUUGUCCGGAAUCAUUGGGCGUAAAGCGCGCGUAGGCGGCCCGGUAAGUCCGUUGUAAAAGUCCAGGGCUCAACCCUGGAAAGCCGGUGGAUACUGUCGGGCUAGAGUCCGGAAGAGGCGAGUGGAAUUCCUGGUGUAGCGGUGGAAUGCGCAGAUAUCAGGAGGAACACCGAUGGCGAAGGCAGCUCGCUGGGACGGUACUGACGCUGAGGCGCGAAAGCGUGGGGAGCGAACAGG